rnacentral:rRNA from 1 species
GAUGAACGCUAGCUACAGGCUUAACACAUGCAAGUCGAGGGGUAACGAGAGGAAAGCUUGCUUUCCUUGUCGACGACCGGCGCACGGGUGAGUAACGCGUAUCCAACCUGCCCCCAACUAGGGAAUAACCUUGCGAAAGUAAGACUAAUACCCUAUAAUUUCCUCAGAUGACAUCUGACGAGGAAUAAAGAUUUAUCGGUUGUGGAUGGGGAUGCGUCUGAUUAGCUUGUUGGCGGGGUAACGGCCCACCAAGGCAACGAUCAGUAGGGGUUCUGAGAGGAAGGUCCCCCACAUUGGAACUGAGACACGGUCCAAACUCCUACGGGAGGCAGCAGUGAGGAAUAUUGGUCAAUGGGCGGAAGCCUGAACCAGCCAAGUAGCGUGCAGGUUGACGGCCCUAUGGGUUGUAAACUGCUUUUAUACAGGAAUAAAGUUAGCCACGUGUGGUUAUUUGUAGGUACUGUAUGAAUAAGGACCGGCUAAUUCCGUGCCAGCCGCCGCAGUAA